UGAGGAACAUGACUUUCGGCGGGGGAUAGCCGGCCCAACGGCCGGGUAAUACCGCGUACGACCUCUCGGGGACAUCCCCGGUUGGUGAAAGCAGCAAUGCACCGAAAGAGUGCCUCGCGGCCUAUCAGCUAGUUGGUGGGGUAACGGCUCACCAAGGCAACGACGGGUAGCUGGUCUGAGAGGAUGGCCAGCCACAUUGGGACUGAGACACGGCCCAGACCUCCUACGGGGAGCAG
rnacentral:rRNA from 1 species